GUCAAAAUUUGCCUUUUAUAUAUUUUUCAGAAAAGAAAAUAAAAUUUUAAGUCAAGAAACGUCUCCAUCAUUGGAUUCAGAGUAAUAAAAAAAUAUAAAAUCAAGCUCUAACUUAUCUAUAAAACAUAGUAACCCAAAAUAUUUUGGAUCACGCUCAGCAUAGAAUUAAAUAAUAUUUGUAUUUUUAUGGUUUAACCUAAAUCGUUUGGUAUCUGAAUAGAUUGAAAUAAUACGUGUUCCACAAAAGAAUCAGCAAUACACAAUGCUAUUAUGCAAUGGCACGAACGCUACUAAUACUCUUCGGCGUAUUGUCGAUUUUAUGGAACAAUGGUUUUAAGCUCCGCAAACCUACAAAGGACUCAAAAUAUAAGAUAUAGAGAUAAGUUCAGAACUGGGGCAAGUUUCAACAGAACUAAGUUAAAAUAGUUAGUUGGCUGACAAUAAGCUUUUGAAAAAACAUAACAGUGCAUGAAAAUCCAUAAAAAAAUAACCACCGUAGAACUAAGUAAGAAAUAUUAGAGAAAUUAUAAGGUCAUAUAAAAUUUUACUAACAAUCGCACAGAGCAUGCUGUUUUACCAAACAAAAUCAUAUUCAUACCUUAAUACGCCCUCCAAAAUUUCUUACCUUAUUUAUAGAGUUAAAGAUAAGUUAAAGAUCUCUUGAGCCUUUACUUGCGCAAACGUUUCAAAAUAAAAUAACAACACAACUAAUAUAGCACACAAAAAAUAUUUGCAAACAAUUGCUAGAUUAAAAUUACCGCAACGCAUAUAGGUAUUUUUCGUACAUUUCCUUUUCUUUCUGCUUUAUCCUUCCACCAUCGCAUCAUACACUCACUCAUAUGUACAGGCAUGUCUAAUUUAUAGCCAAUCCCAUAAUUUGUUGAUGUCAUGCCAGCAAUAAUCGCUAGGCUAAAACAAAAGUCAUGCUGUCAUGCCACGCAGAGGUUAUUCCUAUUCCGUUUGUCAGCAACCUUAGUUUGCACUCUCUUAUCUUAACUAAAUUGUUGGCUAAUAAUAAGUAAGCUGCUCUGGCAUUGCUAUAACGAAAUGACUUCUAUACCCGACAUGGCAAGCGUGUUGUACUCCUAACACAGUAUUUUUGUUUUUUAUGCUUUUUUCGAUACGAACCUUUUGUUGUGGCUGGUUCACUAUCCAAUUCUUUCUUUAUUUUUGGAAAUAUUUUGACAUUUCUGUUUCGCAAUAUUUUCUCGCACACGCUUGCCCUAACAACUCUUAUUUGCAAUUUUAGCUUUCGUUUAUCUUAAUAGAAAUCUUAGGUUUUCUUCUGCCCCAAAAAUAUUUAGACCACUUAACAAACUUAGAGGAAAAGAGAAAUAUUUGAGUGAGUGGAUAGAGUGAGAAUGUAAAAGUUAGAGAGGGGUGAGAAAAAGAUGAUAAGACUUAAAUUUAUUUUUAAAAAAUAUACACAUUUAAUGCAAUUUAAACCAAAAAAUCAUUUGCUACAAGCCGCCUUAAAUUUUAAACUUCCAAAUAAACAAGUAAUCACAAAGAGAACUUGCACUUGCAUGCACCAAGUUCGGGAAGCAAAACUAAUUUGUGAACUGCAAGCGACAGCAUGAUAAAUUGAACGUCAAAGGUGAGCGACAUGCAAAACAAAUGUGGAGGAAAGAAUUAAAAUACAACUCAAGCAACGAAACAAAGAGUCAGACAGACACUUUGAAAGGUACUUGUCUUCUAUUGUGAGAAUAUAACAUAUUUCUCAGAAUUAAUCUUGCAAAAGUGGAAAUGGUCUUAGAUUUUUACAUCUGAAGGAUAUGUUGGAGAAAGCUGCUUAAACCGUUUCUUACAAUUUCACUAUUGUACCUCCAUAAUAAACGGAACUAAGAUCUUUAUACAAAUCGAUCAAUCAAUGCCAGAAAUGGGGUUUUAUCUUUUAGCUUUUGAAGUAAUUGCUCCCUCGACUUGAUUUUAGAUAUUAAGAGAAAAUAUACAUAAGUCUCAAAAGAUCUGGGGCGAAGCAUAUAAUCGGCCAAAGUAGCUAUACAGCACUUUUCAAACACCGGUAUUUUUCCUACGACAUUUCAUAGAAAUCAACAUUACCCCGAGGACUAAUACAGAAGCUAAAAGUAUAAACCACUUGUUUGCUUUGCAGAGGUGUUGGCGAAAGCAAGGAAAAUGUCAGUCGCACAUCAGCAACAGCAACAUCGCAUUGGUGCUAAGAUGAGAAAACAACAACAACAACAAUUUGGCAACACACAUAUUCGCAGAUCGAAUUCAAAUUGUGUGAAAAAAUGUCCACAGCAUACUUAGCUUUGAGACAAAUUAAUGAAAUGGAAUAACUGUGAAGCGCCCACGUGCGACAAGAAAUUUUAUGUGUGGGUGUGUGUGUGUGUAUGCGCGCAUAGCUGUGUAGGUGCAAAGUACCCACUUGGACGGAAGUUCUAUUAAUUUCACGCUAUCUCUGCUGCGGGACACCUAAUUUUUCCUUAAUCUUUCGAAAGAAUUGCGGCAGAGGUAAAUAUAUGUAUAUAUAUAUACAUGAAUACACAC